UCUCCUGCACGUUGUGCUUCCCCAAAGACGACGCCGUUUCCGACUUCGUUAGGGUUUCAUGGAUUUUAUUCAUCGCUUGAUUUUGUGAGGAGGGUGCAUUCAUGGCGAAAUCUUCUCUUCUCGGCGUUCUCGCCUUUCAAUUUUCACGAACCGAACAAGAAUCCAAGGGUACACCCGAGUCAAUACCGCCAUUAAAGAUUUGGUCGUAGGGUUCUCGGUUCAUUUCUGUAUUUCCAGUCUGUUACUGUGUUUUUUAGGUAAUUUAUUUCUCUUUCGCAUUAUUGUAUCUUAACGAUGCAUUCUGCUCACCUGCGCAAUAGGCAAAUUUCAAUCUGUAAAGUUAUCGCAAAUCCAUCUUCUGCGUUUGAUUCGCUGCCCAAAAUUCAGCUAUUGUUUGGCAUUAGCUCGUUCAAUGGGAAAACGCAGAUCGAGGGUUUUUGUAAUAUUGUAAAUGUAGAGGAAUCCAAAGCUGAGAAAGAGAAAUCGUUCAAUGCAUCCUACUUGGUCCAUUCAUAUGGUAUGUCUCCAGAGCAUGCUGCUCAUGCUUUCCAGAGAAUCGGCUUUGCAGGGAGACCUGAAUCUGUGUUAGCCCUAUUAGAGCGACAGGGAUUUAGUAAAGCGCAGAUUGCCACACUUGUGAGGGCAAAGCCUGAAGUUCUUGCUCUCCGUGAAAAGACACUUGCUCCUAAGAUUGAAUUUCUCCAGUCUACUGGGAUAUCGAAGGCUGCCAUUACAAUGAUUGUCUCCAAAAACCCUAGUAUGCUAUGCAGAAGCUUGAAGAAUGGAAUUAUACCUAAUUAUUUUUUCUUCAAGAGUUUGCUUGGUACUGAUGAAAAGGUAGCCUCUGCAAUGAGGAGGACCUCAAGGAUUUUCAAUUCCAAUGUUGACAAGAUUCUAGCUCCAAAUGUUGAGAUCUUAAGGGACCUCAAUGUGCCAGAAGCUAAUGUCCGAUAUUUAUUAACACAAUUUCCAGAGACUAUUAUGCAAACUGUGAGUGCGUUCAAAAAGACUGUUUCUAAGGUGUUAGAAUUUGGGUUUGAUCCUGCAAAAUCGACGUUUGGGUUGGCUCUACAUGCAUUUUCAGGAACUUCUAAUCAAGCGACCUGGGAACGGUGUUAUGAGACAUAUAGUAACUUGGGUUGGUCAAAAGAUGAUAUCUACAUGGCAUUUAGGAAGCAACCUUUUUGCAUGAUCUUGUCCCGAAAGAAAAUCUCUGGAGCUAUGGACUUUUACUUAAACACCAUGGGGUUAACAUCAAGAUCAAUUGCAAGCUACCCAAAUUUUCUCCUAUACAGUUUGGAGAAAAGAAUUAUCCCUCGGUGCUCUGUCAUUCAGCAAUUGUUGUCAAGGGGUAUACUUAGAAAGAAAUACAGCUUGGCUACAGUGCUGCAAAGGUCUGAUAAAUGGUUUCUGGAAAGCUAUGUGCUUAAAUAUGAGAAGGAAUUGCCUGGUCUCCAAGAUUUCUACCUAGGGAAGGUUGGCGUGGAUGGAUUGCCACCCCCAAAAGCAUAAUUUUGAUCGGUGCCUUCCUAGGGAGUUAUAGGUUGUAGUACAUACAUUGCAGUUCUGCUUCAAUAAUGACCAUCCUUUUAGAUUAAUCUCUCUGCUUGAGACCAACUUUUUCGUACAUGGUUCUUUGGUGAAUAAGAAGAACAUAUUACCAACUAGUUUGAUGUGGAAACUCAAUUAUCCUCCUUUUCCAGCAAUGAGGGACAAGACUCCGGUGUUGGACUUUACUGAACAUUGCUUCGGCCACCCACUCGACCUACCCCAACAUAAGACAGAAGAUGAACCUACCAUAUCGGUUCCCCCUCUAUUCCCAACAGUUGUGUCAUGAAUCGAACAACAGAUGGUCACAUUUGUAUCAAUCUCAUAACCAUGGACAAAAUAAGUGAACACAGACCCCGAAAUCGGUUUAAAGUUGCAAGAUAAUUCCUAAUUGAUGAUACAAUCAUUAAACUGAGGGAUUUGUACGACAUGAUUAGCCUGAGGCAGUUGGAUGAUUCUCCAAAAUUUUGGGUGGAAUUUGAAACAGAUUGAUUCCAGUCUCUUAUGACUUGAGAUUGUAUUGAAAUGAAUUCAGUGCUGAGCUUAUAUUUGAUACUGAAGCUCUGAGAAGAACUCUUAAUGUUUGUUCCAUUGAUGCUUCAGUAUCUGCAGAACUUCAUGUUGUCACAUUGAAAAUACAUUGCCCAAUAAGUUUCUACCGCAACUGAACCUUGUUAAUUCUUUAGAUGUCCAUGGCUGUCAUUCAAAUUGAUGAAAUUGAAGUGAGCUCUGAAGCUUAAAGUUUGGUUUAUAUAAUAAAUUUUAUUAUUCUCAUUAUUCUAUUACAUUUAUACUCUCAUCGUGGAAAUAAUAUGAUCAGCCCUCCAGAAUUAAGGAAAAGAAGCAGACAUAGAGACGGUCUUAGUAAAACACAGAUUGUCAAUCUUGUGAGGAAAAGAUCUGAAAUUCUUGCAGUCGGUGAAAAGGUAACAGCUCCCAAGUUUAGAUUUUCCAGAGCCCAUGAUUCAAAAUGUGUAGGAGUUCAAUGUAGCUGCUUCCAAAGUGUUCGGCAAGAGAUUUGAUCCUUGGUGAUAAAUGUUGGUGGCCCUUAAGAGUAACUGCUUAGAAGCUGUUUCAGGAUGAGGCCUUAAUCAAGUGACUUGGGCAUGGGAUGAUAUAUCCAUUCGACAUUUAGGUAAGUAUCUAAAUUGCAUGAUCUUGUCGGGGGUGAUCUUCAGAACCAGGUUCUCUCUUAAAACUCUGCAAGUUUGAAUACCAGGUCAAUUUCUAGAUCCUCACCUUCAGAAAUUUUCUGCAUUCAUGCAUGAUCAAUAUUCUCACCUACAUUGGCUGCUUUUCCUUUGAUUUGGUCAUUUGGUUGUUGAAAGCUUUAUCUGUGUUAUGGUCAUUAAUUUGUGUCUAGAAUUAAAUUGCCUGCAGGAGCAGCCUCUGGACCAUGAAGCUGCUUGCGUUACUAAUCGACACAAGAAGCAGGUAAUAUGUUAGAUGUAUAUAGUAAUAGUAAUGAUUUGUGAUAUUUUGUAGUUUGAUUA